CUCUCUCUCUCUCUCUCUCUACAUUCAUAUAAUAUAAAACUGUGUGUAUCGAUCUAUGGAUUAUCGAGGAAAUCUAUAGAUCGAGAAAUGGCGAACUAUUUAGCUCAGUUUCAGACAAUCAAGAAUUAUUGUGAUCAAAUCGUAAUUGCAGUUGAAGAUGUGAGUGAUCUUUGGCCCAAUAUCAAAGAUAGAUUUGAGGAGCAACUGCCAUUCAAAAGAGCUUGUUUGAAUAACAAGACGCGUAACCUUGUGUUUGUGGACAAUCUGCCUGCUGAAUUCAUAUUAACUACAGAUGCAAGGCUUCGUAGUCGAUUUCCUCAGGAGCAAUCAUUAUUCUGGUUUCGAGAACCAUACGCAACUGUGGUUCUUGUUACAUGUGAGGAUCUUGACGAGUUCAAAACCAUCCUUAAACCACGCCUGAAGUUAAUCGUCCAAAAUGACGAACGGGAAUGGUUUAUUGUAUUUGUGUCUAGAGCUCAUCCAAGUAAUGAUAACGCCACCAAAAUGGCAAAAAAAGUAUAUGCCAAGCUUGAAGUUGAUUUUAGCACAAAGAAAAGAGAGAGGUGUUGUAAAUUUGAUAUUCAUGGCCCUGAAGCAAAUUUUUGGGAAGAUUUGGAAUCCAAAAUUAUGGAAUGUGUCAAAAACACAUUGGAUAGGCGUGUACAAUUUUAUGAGGAUGAAAUACGUAAGCUCAGUGAACAGCGCUUCAUGCCAGUUUGGAACUUCUGUAAUUUUUUUAUACUGAAGGAAAGCCUGGCUUUUAUGUUUGAGAUGGCUCAUCUCCAUGAAGAUGCAUUGCGUGAAUACGAUGAAUUAGAACUCUGUUAUCUGGAAACAGUUAAUACGGGUGGGAAGCAGAGAGAAUUUGGAGGACUAGACAGUGGUGAUGAUCAGGCAGCACUGCUCAAUAUUGGAAACAAACCAUUGACACAAAUCGUUCAGGAUGACUCCUUUAGAGAAUUUGAAUUUAGGCAGUAUCUCUUUGCCUGCCAAUCAAAGCUUUUAUUCAAGCUGAAUCGACCCUUUGAGGUUGUAUCAAGGGGUUAUCCAUUUGUAAUCAGCUUUUCUAAGGCCCUUAUACUGCAUGAGAGUACAUUGCCUUUUUGUCUGCGAGAAGUUUGGGUAAUAAGCGCUUGCUUGGCUUUGAUCAAUGCAACUUCUUCUCAUUACAAUGAUGGAUUAGUGGCAUCUGACAUUGAAAAGGAGUUCUACCGUCUUCAGGGUGAUCUUUAUUCAUUAUGUCGAGUUAAGUUCAUGAGGCUUGCAUAUUUAAUUGGAUAUGGAAUGGAUAUAGAAAGAAGUCCAGUCAACAGUGCUUCACUCAGCAUGCUACCUUGGCCUAAACCUGCAGUUUGGCCUUCACUUCCAGCUGAUGCUUCUUCUCAGGUGCUUGAUAAAGAAAAGGUGAUCCUUCAAGCUACUCCUAGAAGUAAGCACUUUGGCAUUCAAAGGAAAUCAUUGCCCCUUGAACCUUCUGUACUUCUGCGGGAGGCAAACCGGCGGAGGGCUUCCCUUUCUGCUGGGAACAUGUUUGAAAUGUUUGAUAGUCGCCCAAGCUUGAUUGAUGGAUCAACUCCAGAUGCUUCACCAUCGACAUCACCCUUGCAAAAAACAAAUACAUUUUCUAUGCCGCGAACAAACUCUUCACCUGGCAAUUUUGACGGGUCAAUGGAUCGACCUAUGAGACUUGCUGAGAUUUAUGUUGCUGCUGAGCAUGCACUUAAGCGUACAAUUUCUAAUGCUGAUCUAUGGAAAUCCUUGUCAUCUUUAGAGGAGUUUGAGCAAAAAUACCUUGAGCUGACCAAAGGUGCUGCUGAUAACUACCAUCAUUCCUGGUGGAAAAGACAUGGAGUGGUCCUUGAUGGUGAAAUAGCUGCAGUUUGCUUCAGGCAUGGAAACUUUGAUCUGGCUGCAAAGUCAUAUGAGAAAGUUUGUGCACUAUAUGCUGGUGAAGGAUGGCAGGAGUUACUGGCUGAUGUCCUGCCAAAUUUAGCUGAGUGUCAGAAGAUGCUAAAUGAUCAAGCUGGCUACUUAUCAUCCUGUGUGAGACUGCUGUCUCUAGACAAAGGUUUAUUCUCAACCAAGGAGCGUCAAGCUUUUCAGGCAGAGGUUGUUCGUCUUGCACACAGUGAGAUGAAGGAUCCUGUGCCUUUAGAUGUCUCAUCAUUAAUCACAUUUUCUGGAAACCUUGGACCACCAUUGGAGUUAUGUGAUGGGGAUCCUGGUACUCUCUCUGUAACUGUUUGGAGUGGCUUUCCUGAUGAUAUAACUCUUGAUUCUCUUAGCCUCACAUUGAUGGCUACAUUUAAUGCUGAUGAAGGUGCUAAGGCAUUAAGGAGCUCUACUGCUACUGUGCUAAAGCCUGGUAGGAACACAAUUACCCUUGCUUUACCCACGCAGAAGCCUGGUUCCUAUGUCUUGGGGGUCCUUACUGGGCAAAUUGGUCAAUUGAGGUUUAGAUCGCAUAGUUUUUCCAAGGGUGGCCCAGCAGACAGUGAUGAUUUUAUGAGUUAUGAAAAGCCAACUAGGCCUAUCUUGAAGGUUUUCAAACCGAGACCUCUGGUUGAUCUCACUGCAGCUGUUUCAUCUGCUUUGCUAAUAAAUGAAACUCAGUGGGUUGGGAUUAUAGUGCGGCCCAUUGACUACUCUCUCAAAGGUUCUGUCUUGCACAUUGAUACUGGUCCAGGUCUGAAGAUUGAAGAGUCACAUGUCAUUGAGAUGGAGAGCUGUGCCAAUGUAUCACAAAGUGCAGCUGACAUUUCAAACAUGAAUGGCACUCAAAAAGAUUGUACUUUGGCCGCUAAUAAAGAGCCUGAGCAAUUAAGCCUUGAUGAUGGUAGAAUAGAAUUUUCAGAUUGGGCAAGUGAUGUGAAUUCUGUUCUUUGGAUCCCUGUUCUUGCUAUCAGUGACACACUUCCAAAAGGAUCAUCUUCAGUCAACCCUCAGAAACAAAGCAUUGUGGAUGGUAUGAGAACAAUAGCAUUGAAACUUGAAUUUGGAGCAUCUCACAACCAGAUAUUUGAAAAAACUAUAGCUGUUCAUUUCACUGACCCUUUCCAUGUGAGCACACGCGUUGCAGAUAAAUGCAAUGAUGGUACUCUGCUUCUGCAGGUGAUACUACACUCCCAAGUGAAAGCCUCAUUGACCAUAUAUGAUGCUUGGCUUGAACUUCAAGAUGGAUUUGUUCACACUGGAAAAGGCAAUGGAAGGCCAACGUCAAGCUUCUUUCCGCUUGUGAUUUCUCCAACCUCAAAAGCGGGAAUCUUGUUCAGUAUUUGCUUAGGGAAGAUGAUUGGUGAAGAUGAAUUAGAGGCACGGAAACCAGAGACAGAGAGCAUAUUAAAUAUCAGAUAUGGAAUUUCUGGUGAGAGAACAAUUGGAGCACACCCUCCUGUGGCUGUGGAAUCAGUUAGACCUGAGGUAGCAAGGCAGGACUUGAUCUUCAAGAGUGCUCUUGUUUUGCAAAGGCCUGUGCUUGACCCAUGCCUAGCUGUUGGUUUUCUUCCUCUUCCAUCGACUGGCCUGAGAGUUGGGCAACUUGUUACCAUGAAGUGGAGGAUUGAAAGAUUGAAGGGUUUUGGAGAUGAUGAAAUAUCUGAACAGAGUGUAAGUUACGAACAAUUAAAAUAAGCUGCACACAAUCCUGGAAUUUCUAAUCCCCUUGGAAAAUAGUUCUCUUCAACCCCCCAACAUCCCCACCACCUCCCCAUCCCCCAACACCCAACCUCCUUUCCUCAGCCUUAUGCUAUUUGGUUGGGCUCAAUAUGAUAGAAGAGGAAAAAGCAAUCAUUCCUCUUAUUUUUCUUCUUCCUGGUUUUCCCAUAUAUCAGUGGAAACCACUGGUUUCAGGCUUAUGAUUCAACUUUUUGUUUUCUUGGUUUUCUUGCCAACUGAAUCAGAAUUUAGCAGAAGUGGAGCAAAACCAUAGUAAUAUCAUAAGACCUACUGUUUUGGGAUGUUCUGGGUGCUGGGUAUCUAAGGACACGCACAGCAAUUAUUUUGUGAUUAUGUGGACUAGGCAAUUCUCACCAUUUUAUGUGAAUUACUUAGAUGUUGUAAAUUAUACCUUUUCAUAAUUAAUAAAUAAAAUGUCAUAUUUGUAACCCGUGCAACAGGGUGAGGUUUUGUAUGAAGUCAGUGCAAAUUCCGAGAAUUGGAUGAUUGCUGGAAGGAAGAGAGGACAUGUUUCACUUUCCACAAAUCAAGGUUCAAGGAUAGUUAUCUCAAUACUAUGUGUGCCACUGGUGGCUGGUUAUGUUCGUCCUCCCCGCCUUGGGCUGCCAAAUGUUGACGAGUCUAAUAUAAGUAACAAUCCUCCUGGGCCUCAUCUGGUUUGUGUCAUGCCCCCUGUUUUGAGCUCCUCCUUUUGCAUCCCAGCAUGAUUGUUUUCAGCUCAUGCAUUCUGGUUGUCCUAGUUUUCCACGAAAAGUGGUUGGAUAGGUUCUUUGCUUCAAGCAAAUUAAAAGUAUCCAGUUUUGCUUACCUUGAAAUCUGUAAAUUUGUAUGUUCACCUAUUGUAGAGAAUCAAGAGAAGUUAGUUUGAGUUGUUCGAAUUUAGUUGCAGCCAGGUGGGUUUUUUGAGUGCUGCCAUCUGCUGUAUAACACUAUUAGUUCCUUAAACAUGUAUAGUUGAAUGCUGUAUGCUUCAUGUACGAGACACAAUGGAAACUGAAAAUCACAUUUUCAUCACCCUUAAAAAUUGUUUGGAUGACAUUUGUUUUGAUACAAAAUUAAGAAAAAAAAAAUUGCAGGUGCUGGAAGUUUGUAUUAUUGAUUACAUGUUAUCUUGUGUUGUAUGCCACGAUGCAUUUAUG
rnacentral:misc_RNA from 1 species